CGCGGAUCAGCAUGCCGCGGUGAAUACGUUCCCGGGCCUUGUACACACCGCCCGUCACACCAUGAGAGUUUGCAACACCCAAAGUCGGUUCGGUAACCUUCGGGAGCCAACCGCCUAAGGUGGGGCAGAUGAUUAGGGUGAAGUCGUAACAAGGUAGCCGUAGGAGAACCUGCGGCUGGAUCACCUCCUUU
rnacentral:ncRNA from 1 species